rnacentral:rRNA from 1 species
CUUGCUUGUUGGGGUUGUAGGACACUCUAUACGGAGUUACAAAAGUAUAUAUUAGACGAAUCAUCUGGAAAGUUGAAUCAAAGAAGGUAAUAAUCCUGUAGUCGAAAAUAUAUACUCUCUUGAGUGGAUCCUGAGUACGACGGAGCACGUGAAAUUCCGUCGGAAUCUGGGAGGACCAUCUCCUAAGGCUAAAUACUCUCUAGUGACCGAUAGUGAACCAGUACCGUGAGGGAAAGGUGAAAAGUACCCCGGAAGGGGAGUGAAAGAGAACUUGAAACCGUGUGCUUACAAGUAGUCAGAGCCCGUUAAUGGGUGAUGGCGUGCCUUUUGUAGAAUGAACCGGCGAGUUACGAUUUGAUGCAAGGUUAAGCAGCUAAUGUGGAGCCGUAGCGAAAGCGAGUCUGAAUAGGGCGUUUAGUAUUUGGUCGUAGACCCGAAACCAGGUGAUCUACCCUUGGUCAGGUUGAAGUUCAGGUAACACUGAAUGGAGGACCGAACCGACUUACGUUGAAAAGUGAGCGGAUGAACUGAGGGUAGCGGAGAAAUUCCAAUCGAACUUGGAGAUAGCUGGUUCUCUCCGAAAUAGCUUUAGGGCUAGCCUCAAGUGAUGAUUAUUGGAGGUAGAGCACUGUUUGGACGAGGGGCCCUUCUCGGGUUACCGAAUUCAGACAAACUCCGAAUGCCAAUCAAUUUAACUUGGGAGUCAGAACAUGGGUGAUAAGGUCCGUGUUCGAAAGGGAAACAGCCCAGACCACCAGCUAAGGUCCCAAAAUAUAUGUUAAGUGGAAAAGGAUGUGGCGUUGCCCAGACAACUAGGAUGUUGGCUUAGAAGCAGCCAUCAUUUAAAGAGUGCGUAAUAGCUCACUAGUCGAGUGACACUGCGCCGAAAAUGUACCGGGGCUAAACAUAUUACCGAAGCUGUGGAUUGUCCGUAGGACAAUGGUAGGAGAGCGUUCUAAGGGCGUCGAAGCAUGAUCGCAAGGACAUGUGGAGCGCUUAGAAGUGAGAAUGCCGGUGUGAGUAGCGAAAGACGGGUGAGAAUCCCGUCCACCGAUUGACUAAGGUUUCCAGAGGAAGGCUCGUCCGCUCUGGGUUAGUCGGGUCCUAAGCUGAGGCCGACAGGCGUAGGCGAUGGAUAACAGGUUGAUAUUCCUGUACCACCUAGUAUCGUUUUAAUCGAUGGGGGGACGCAGUAGGAUAGGCGAAGCGUGCUAUUGGAUUGCACGUCCAAGCAGUAAGACUGAGUGUUAGGCAAAUCCGGCACUCAUAAGGUCAAGCUGUGAUGGGGAGAGGAAAUUGUUUCCUCGAGUCGUUGAUUUCACACUGCCAAGAAAAGCCUCUAGAUAGAUAACAGGUGCCCGUACCGCAAACCGACACAGGUAGUCAAGAUGAGAAUUCUAAGGUGAGCGAGCGAACUCUCGUUAAGGAACUCGGCAAAAUGACCCCGUAACUUCGGGAGAAGGGGUGCUCUUUAGGGUUAACGCCCAGAAGAGCCGCAGUGAAUAGGCCCAAGCGACUGUUUAUCAAAAACACAGGUCUCUGCUAAACCGUAAGGUGAUGUAUAGGGGCUGACGCCUGCCCGGUGCUGGAAGGUUAAGAGGAGUAGUUAGCUUCUGCGAAGCUACGAAUCGAAGCCCCAGUAAACGGCGGCCGUAACUAUAACGGUCCUAAGGUAGCGAAAUUCCUUGUCGGGUAAGUUCCGACCCGCACGAAAGGCGUAACGAUUUGGGCACUGUCUCAACGAGAGACUCGGUGAAAUCAUAGUACCUGUGAAGAUGCAGGUUACCCGCGACAGGACGGAAAGACCCCGUGGAGCUUUACUGUAGCCUGAUAUUGAAAUUCGGCACAGCUUGUACAGGAUAGGUAGGAGCCUUUGAAACGUGAGCGCUAGCUUACGUGGAGGCAUUGGUGGGAUACUACCCUAGCUGUGUUGGCUUUCUAACCCGCACCACUUAUCGUGGUGGGAGACAGUGUCAGGUGGGCAGUUUGACUGGGGCGGUCGCCUCCUAAAAGGUAACGGAGGCGCUCAAAGGUUCCCUCAGAAUGGUUGGAAAUCAUUCAUAGAGUGUAAAGGCAUAAGGGAGCUUGACUGCGAGACUUACAAGUCGAGCAGGGUCGAAAGACGGACUUAGUGAUCCGGUGGUUCCGCAUGGAAGGGCCAUCGCUCAACGGAUAAAAGCUACCCCGGGGAUAACAGGCUUAUCUCCCCCAAGAGUUCACAUCGACGGGGAGGUUUGGCACCUCGAUGUCGGCUCAUCGCAUCCUGGGGCUGUAGUCGGUCCCAAGGGUUGGGCUGUUCGCCCAUUAAAGCGGUACGCGAGCUGGGUUCAGAACGUCGUGAGACAGUUCGGUCCCUAUCCGUCGUGGGCGUAGGAAAUUUGAGAGGAGCUGUCCUUAGUACGAGAGGACCGGGAUGGACAUACCUCUGGUGUACCAGUUGUCGUGCCAACGGCAUAGCUGGGUAGCUAUGUAUGGACGGGAUAAGUGCUGAAAGCAUCUAAGCAUGAAGCCCCCCUCAAGAUGAGAUUUCCCAACUUCGGUUAUAAGAUCCCUCAAAGAUGAUGAGGUUAAUAGGUUCGAGGUGGAAGCGUGGUGACACGUGGAGCUGACGAAUACUAAUCGAUCGAAGACUUAAUC